UAAUACGAAGGUGGCAAGCGUUGUUCGGAUUCACUGGGCGUACAGGGAGCGUAGGCGGUUGGGUAAGCCCUCCGUGAAAUCUCCGGGCCUAACCCGGAAAGUGCAGAGGGGACUGCUUGGCUAGAGGAUGGGAGAGGAGCGCGGAAUUCCCGGUGUAGCGGUGAAAUGCGUAGAGAUCGGGAGGAAGGCCGGUGGCGAAGGCGGCGCUCUGGAACAUUUCUGACGCUGAGGCUCGAAAGCGUGGGGAGCAAACAGGAUUAGAUACCCUGGUAGUCCACGCCUUAAACUAUGGAUACUAAGUGUCGGCGGGUUACCGCCGGUGCCGCAGCUAACGCAGUAAGUAUCCCGCCUGGGAAGUACGGCCGCAAGGUUGAAACUCAAAUGAAUUGACGG
rnacentral:rRNA from 1 species